CUCAGUAGUGCAAAUGGAGUGAGGAUGAUCGUGUGUCGGGGGACGGCCGCUCUUGGAAUUGACGCAGCAAAAUGGGCGACCGAGCCAGGAGCCUCACCAUCGACGGCGUGCGGCUCAUCAAGGACCUCAAGGUGGUCGAGCUCAAGGCCGAGCUAGAGCGCCGAGGCCUAUCCAAGUCGGGCAGCAAGAAGGAACUGGUGGAACGUUUACGGAGUAGUGUACAAUUUGAAAACACAAAGUCCAAGGCAACAGCUGCUAUAAGCGAGGAGGAAGUUCCCAAUAGAUGGUUGCAAAAUGAAGCCAACUUAGACAACGACUUUAUCCGCGAAUAUUUUCAGUCCCAGCAGGCCCUCUACAGGCAGCAAAUUGAAGCUAGAAGACAGUACAGAGAAACCAGUGGAGAAGGGGCAGCCCCGUCAACUCCGUCAGCGGCUCUGCCCUCAGUCCAACAGGCGGCUCUUGGGGGCCCUCAGCAACCAGGCAAAGCCACUCCCUCAUCCCACAGUACCCCUCCAGCGACUUCAUCAACAGCAGCAGCUGGAGGAGGAGGCACAGCCAGUGUUGGCCGAGUGCACACACAUCCUGUGAGCAAAACUACUCCAGAUUUAACUGCGAAAGCAAGCUCAGGUCCUGCUCACAAGCCAUCCCCAAGCCCCUCUGUCAGAACCUCCUUAGCUGCUGGCGUAACCUCACUGUCAUCUGGCGGACAAGCACCAGCGGCUAAAGAGGGUGCUGCAAAGGUUUAUGCAAACACAUUGGUUAGUACUGCACCUCGUAUAACUAGUGGUGAAACCUCGGCACCUUCGGCCACUCCAACACCACCUAGAGAAAAGCCACCGACACAACUCACCCUCAAGGUAAAAUUAAAGAAUGAUGCAACAGCAGUAACCACCCCACAAACACCCUCAACAUCAUCAAGUUCCAGUAGACCUAGUAGAAGUUCAGCACGUGCUGCUCGAGAGCUCAGUAGAGUCUCGCUUGAAGACUCAGAGGAGGAGGAUGACUCUGAGGGAAGGGAGGAGCGUCACCCACCUGUGAGGCGUUCCAGGAAGCGCUCAGCGCGGCAUUCACAGACCCCAGAGGAUCCUGACUUUGUUGCAGCUGGCACUAGCCACUUGAGCAGUCCCCCGAGCAGUGAUCUCAAAGACAGAGUGCCGUCUCUUAGGAUUAAGUUACCUGAACCUGUGCCUAAUGUGAAUUUAAGUGUUUCAACAACAGUUGAUGAAAAACCAAAGAAAAGAAUAGAGAGUGUAUCUAUUAAUAGGAAAGAACCUAAUAGUUUAUUGGAUGCAAAGUGCAGACGCCCUGUUCAUAGCAUUAGGAAGCACGUGAAUGACCCUCCACAAGACAUUGAAGGCUCGCUCAACAGAGAGACCUUAGUACCUGAUGUAAGUGUUAGAUCCGCCGGUGAUAAUCUGAAAAAUCCAUGUCUUCAGGAAGGACCGAAACCCCCAGGGAAAAGCGGAGGCAGUGUUUGUGAUUCCAAGAACUUGAAAGAUACAUUGGUCAAACCUGAUUCUCCUGUGCCAUUAGACUGGUUGAAAAGAUCGCUAAGGACUAACCCUAAAAAACACGAACCCAGUGAGGCCGGUUCAAAUUCACAGGGACCAGACUAUGCAAGUUUACAACCAACGGUUUCGCUGAGACGUAUAGAGGCUGUACCCAGCACAGAGAGACAAAUUGCCAAAGAUGAACCAGUAGUGAGUCCUGUUAGCUUGAGUUGGAAAAGCCCAAGUGCUAGUGAGAGUCAAGAACCAGAAAGGAAAGCAGAAAGAGAAAGUUCUACAAGGAGAGAGAAUGCAAAAAAUCAGUUGGAAAGCAAAACUGGAAAUAAACUAAGUGCUGAGGAAAGAUUAGAGGCUUACAGUUCCAUUACUGUAUCAAAAGUUGAUACUCUAAAAAGAAAAGAACCAAGUGAUUUGAAUACCAGUAAAGAAGUUGAGCCGUCAACAUUAAGAACACUCCUUACAGGUGAAAAUAAAGAUAUUGUUUUAGUAGCAAACAAAAAUAAAUCUACAGCUGUUGAUGCACAAGACCAGCCUGACCAGAAGCAUUUGCCCAGUUUGAAAAGUCCUCAACAGAGAUCAAAAAGCACAGAAGACCCAGGUGGUAGUGCAUUAAGUUUGGUAAUAGUGCCCCCAGCAGAGAGUUCGUCCAGCACCAAACAGAGUGUAGGAAGAACCGUUGGGGAAACUCAAGUUAAAACUGUGAUAUACGAGUCCAGUGAUCCAGAAUGGAAAACUGAUAGUACAAAGCCACAUUCUGAUUGCAAAUUCUCAAAAGAAACUGCCGAAAAGAAGGAACCUGACAAACAAAGUCAGGUUGCUCAAGACGUCACUCAAGGGCCAAAUGUUAAAAGGGACCCCAGUGUUUUAGAGGAAAAUUCAAAACCAGGAGUUGAAUGCAGCACUUCAGCUGGAACAGCAGUUGCAUCUGCACACAAGGCAGCUAGUCUACCAACUGGUCCACUCAAAACAAAGAUCUGGGAAAAGUUGCUGACAACAGCACAGAAGAAAGGAGACGUUUCCAAAGACACCCCAAAAGACUCGACCAAAAAGGAAGAAAAAGAAGAAACACCUCUUCAAGUUCAGCAAACUGACCAGCACAUAAAAACAGAAACUGAUGUAAAGAAAGAGUUUGAUAAAGAUCAACAGACGACAGAUGAGACUUGCUCUGGCCAAGGAACUGAAAGCUUAGAGAAGUCAAGCGAACAUCACGCUCAAGCCACAGAUGUGAAGGCUGUUGUGGUAACCAACACCCAGAUAACAGAAGCUGUGCACAAACCUGGUGAGUUGCUAGAAAAAAGCACCAGGAAGGCAAGUCACAAGAGUGAGAAAGGUGAUGCUGCCCAAGAAACCAGCACAAAGGAAGAACUGACAGAAAGUUCAUUGUCUGGAAAUCAGCAGGUGCCCCAGAAGGAUACCCUUGCUUCAGAAACCAAGAGGGAAGUAGUUCCUGAAACCCCAAAAGUCCCAUUAGUAAAUACACUUGGUAAACCAGCACCACCUGUUGCAAAAUCAAAAUUGAUUCCAAAUUUAAAAACACCUGUUACUGUUUCAGCUGCAAGUGAAACUCCAGCCUCUACAAGUUGGAGAAAAGAAACUGUUUUUAAGAUAGAGGAGAGUGAACCAGCUCUAGAAGAGGAAGGCAAGACUGGUGCCCCAUCUAAACAGGAAAAGUUAGGGGAACCUACCAAGGAACCUAAAAACGAUAGCACAGAUAUCCAGAGCCAUAAAAAAGAAACUGUUGAACCAGUUACUGAUAAGCCUGUUAAGGAAGAGCAGACUCUUACAGACACAACAGAUUCAGAGAAAAGAGAGCAGUCUGAUAAAGUUCAGACAAGCAAGAGCAAAUGGAAUAAAGCCUCCAAAGAAAGUCCAGAGCAGCAGGAAUCAGACCCAGAGAAGAAGCCAUUCUUAGAAUCACAACCUGACCCCACACCACCACCAGUUGCAAGCAGAUCACAGGCUGAUAGCAAGAGCUGGUUACAACCUGAUUCUAAAGUUGAACCUCUAGAAAAGACAACUAGUGUUGCAUCAACCAGGAUUUUGGAAGACAGAGGAAAGUUUAUCUCUUGCCCAGCUGAUAAAAAGGAUCAGCAGGUUACCCCAUCUGUAGAGAGCAAGGAACUGCCUACAGAUACCAGCUUAAAAGAAAUAGGAGAAGCAGAGAAAAAGGCAGAGAGUCAGCCAUUUGGCCUCAAUCUAAACAAAGUAAAUGUCUCAAGCAGUGAGAGAGAGAGAUCUCAGAGUGUAAUUAGUACAGAAGGAAGGUGUAAUGAAAUACCUGUGUCAAGCCAACACAGAUUUUUAGCAUUUGAAACUCCUAAGAAAGAAGGAACUAAUGUGAGAGAGCUAACAAGUAUUGAGAAAGAUCGCACACAUCAAGAUACGACUGCAAGUCCAAAGGAUCCAUCUGUUACAAGUUUAACUACUGAAUAUAAAGAAGAUCCAACUACAUCCAGUAAAGUAACAUCUUGUGAAACAGAUUCAGUUACAAAAGUCAAAGUAGAGGAUAGGAAAAAAGAACUAGUCUCAACUUCCAAUCAUACACAUACUGAGAGUGAACACUCGCUCCUAAAUAAAGUUUCAGGUGUGAAAGAUCUUCCAGUUUCUAGCGAAUUAAGGACUUCUGAAAACACUACAGUUUCUUCAAGUAAAGAUCUUCUAAAGAGAGAAGAACCAGUCCCAGCAGAGGAAGUUGAUCCCCCUAAGAGAGAAGAACCAGCUCCAGCAGAUAAAAGUGAUCCACAUCUGACAAGCAAAGUAGUAAGCAGCAAGAAAGAACUAGCACUAUCAAGCAAACUUUCAGUAAUCAAAGCUGCAAGUAGUGGGAAAGAUCCAUCAUCUAUAAUAGAAGUUUCAUCUUGUGUGACAGAUUUCACUACUGAAGAGUCCAAAAGUGAAAAGAAAACAACCCUCACUUCAGAAGUUUCUUUUGAGAAAGACCCAACUACAACAUUUGCCAGUUUGAGUAGUGAGAAAGAAUCGCCUCUGACAGGCAACGUUUCCAGCAGGGAGAGACAGCCAGAAGUUUUUACUAGUGAUGGAAAAACUUAUGUUGCAACAGAAGUUUUAAGUCAAGAGGAAAAAACAUCUGUCUUGUCAGAAGUUUCUGUUGAAAAGAAAGAGCGUGCUUUCACAGGUGAACCCCAGAUCUGUAAGAAAGAACCACCAGUUAUACCAGAAGGCCUUAGCAGUGAGAAAGAACCAUCAGCGACAUCUGAAAUUCACAGUACAGUUCUCAGUCAGGAUAAGAAGACCACUGUCACAUGUGAAGUUUCCAGUGAUCAGAAAGAAUCACUCCCCACAACUGACAUUUCCAGCGGUGAAAAAGGACCAGAAAUCACAUCAGCUGUUCCUAAGAGUGAGAAAGAGCCAUCUGUAACACCAGAAUUUAUCACUAGAGAAGAAAAACCAACACACGCACCUGAAGUUCCCACUGUUGAGAAAGAACCAGCUGAAACCUUUAAAACUUUCAGUAGCAAGGAAGAACCAGCUGACAAACUUGAAGUUCCCAGUAAUAAGAAAGAAUUAACUGGAACUGAAACUCCAAGUAAUGAGAAAGAAUUGACUGUUGCAACUGAGGCUCCUAUUAGUGAGCAAGAAUUAGCCACAAAAUCUAAAGCUACCACUAGUGAGAAAGAACCAUUUGUAAAAUUACAACCAGCUGUAAAAUCUAAAGCCUCUACCAGUGAGAAAGAACCAGCUGUAGAAUCAAAAGCUGCCAAAAGUGAAAAAGAAUCACCAGGUGAGAAAGAACCAGUUGUAAAAUCGAAGACUACCACUAGUGAGAAAGAGCCAUCAGUAAAAUCUGAGGCCUUUGCUAGUGAGAAAGAAACAGCAGUACAAGUGCAAGAAUCCCCAAGUGACAAAGAACCAGCUGUAGAAUUGAAAACUGCCUCUAGUGAGAAAGAACCAUCUGUAAAAGUUGAGGCUUCAACUAGUGAGGAAGAACCAUCAGUAAAAUCUGAGGCCUUUGCUAGUGAGAAAGAAACAGCAGUACAAGUGCAAGAAUCCCCAAGUGACAAAGAACCAGCUGUAGAAUUGAAAGCUGCCUCUAGUGAGAAACAGCCAUCUGUAAAAGCUGAGGCCUCAACUAGUGAGGAAGAACCAAGUGAAAAAGAACCAGUGGUAGAAUCAAAAGCUUCUUCAAGUGAAAAGGAGCUAGUGACUAAGAAAGAGCCAGCUGUCACAUCGGAAGUUCCCAGCAGCGAGAAAGAGCCACAUUCUGUAAUCACAUCUGAGAACACUCCAAAAGAACUUCUCACCGAUAAGGAAGAUCCAACUGCAACCUGUAAAUCAUUCAGCAAUAAGGAAGAAUCAGCUGAAGACAGUAAAAAGAAGGAACAAAGCGAAACUGAUGCACUGAGUAGAGAGGGGGAUUUGGCUGAAACAACCAAAGCUCCCAUUAGCAAGCAAGAACCAGCUGUUAAAUUAGAAGCUUCCCAAAGCCAGAAAGAACCAGCUAUAGAAUCAAAAGCUUCUGCUAGCAAAAAAGAACCAGUAACCAAGAAAGAAGAAACUGUCACAUCAGAAGUUCCCAAUAGUGAGAAAGAACCACUUCCUGUGAGUACAUCUGAGAACGCUCCAAAAAAAUCUGUGGUCACAGGGGAAGUUAUAGUCUGUCCACCUCCAGACUCUCAAAUUAGUUUUACAGAACCAGAAGCAUCUAGUAUUGUUUUUGGUCUAAAGGCAGAAAGUGCAAAGGAAUCAAAGGAACCAAAGGAACCACAAGAAGUUCCAGGAGCAGAGACAGACCCUAAAAAGACCAGUGUUGAGGAAGUUACGCCCAUCUGUUCUGAGAGUGGUGCUGAACCUUCAAAACGGGAAGGAAACGGUCAAACUGCGUCAGAAGGUUUGCCCCUCCCACCUGUCCCAGGCUCUUUGAACCAGUCUUCUAAAGUUCCACUAAGCGAGACCAAGUCUUUUUUAGAACCAGAGGUUGCAGGUGAUUCCAAACAGUCUGACUUGCAAGAUAAGGCUUCAGUUUGCCACAAAUCUGUACCAGGUGAGCAAGUAGUCACAUCACAAGAGGAAGGCUCAUCUGUUGUGGUUGUAGAUAAUCAUAAAGAAAAGGAAUCAAAAGAAGACCCUGUAGAGUGUCACAAAGAGCUCUCCAUCAAAGUAGACGUACCAUCACAAGACCUGAAAUCUUUAAAUAACCUCAAAGAUCCUUACACUGAAUCAAAGGUUCCAAAUUGCCAGAGAGUCUUAUCUUCUAGCCAGGAAGAUUUGUUUUGUGGUAUUGAGAAAUUGAAAGUCCAUGAAAAAACAUUAGGAGAGUCUACAGCUGUACAAGAUAAACAGCAGAUUUCAACUGUAGAUUCACUCACUUCAAAGUCAGUUGACAAACCGCAAACUGAGUCCAAAGUUUCAUGGCAAGCGAGUGCUGAGGAGGAUUCUCUUGAAAUUACUAAGGCAUCCAAAGCAUUAGAAUCAAAACUUCCCACGGAAAUAACCAGUGUGAAAGAAGCUACUUCUGUUGUAGGAUCACAAAGCCAAGACAUUUGUAAAAAAGAAUCAGGUGUUGAAGAGAACCUAUCUCGUGUUGAAAAACUACAAGCUCUUAAGUCAGUUACUGAUACGAGCUCAGAAAUUGAACUUGGCAUCAGUUUGGUCUCAAUUUCAAAACAAAAAGAGUGUAAAGACUUACCUUUACCACCAGAAGAUAAAUUAGAAAAAGGAGAUACUGGGGAAUUGAAACCAAGUCCAGUAGAAAAAGAUUGUCUCAAUUUCUACAAGAAUAUAACCAGUGAAAAGAGUUCAUUAUCAAAGAAAAGUGAAUUGCAUCAGGGUGACAAACUUGACCAUUCAGUUACAGAAGAGGAAGUGCUAUCUCUAAAGAGUGAAAGUGUUGAUUCCAUUUUCUCAGAAAAGGGAGAGGCUACUUCGACUCAAGAGAAAGACAGUGAGUCAAAAGACUUGUAUCCAGAAGAGAAGAAACUACAUGAUUCAGAAAUCGGAAAUCCUGUUGUAGCAGAACAGUCAAAAGCUGUACCUGCUGAGCAGCAGAACUCCCAGUUUGACAUUAGAUUAUUAGCAGUCCUUCCUGAGACAUCGGAACAGAAGUAUCAAGAUUUAGGCAGUGAUAUUCACAGACCUUCCCUCACACUUACCACAACUCUUGAUAAAGUCAGCAAACACGAGAGUGGUUCAGUACCAUCACCUCAUCCAGAUAUUCACAAAGAUAAACUUCUAGAGCAAGGAGAGUUAGGUAAUCCCUUGGAAUUAGGUACUGAUAAAAAAGUAGAUAAUCUACAUUCAUCUGAAAGUACAGUUUAUGAUCAGAAAGACUAUAACUGUUCUCUCAGUUUUGUCAAGAACCCAACUGAAAGUAUCACAAAGGACUUAGACACUCCAUUGAAUGAUACACCAACUUGUGAGACUAAAUCUUUGAGUAUAUCAGCAGCACCAUCUUAUCACACUGAUUGUACAAGUGGAAAUUCUCCCGUAUCAGAGCCCAAUCCCUUUGUCAAGAGGACAGAUACAUCAGACCGUAUCAUUAACUCGCGUGCACUAGAUAAGAAAGGGCGCUCUACUUCAAAAGAUACCUCAUCAUCUGGUGUUCCAUAUCUAGCAUCAAAACCAGCAUCUGGAGAUUCUAAGAAACAAAAGGCUCCUGUGGGAAGUGAUGAGGCAGCUCCUGCAAAUUUAGUAAGGAGUAGGACCAGUGAACAAGUUGAAGAAACUGACUCUGAAUCUGAAGAGCAGACAUCGGGCACUGGAAGUGAUUCGGAUUCGUCAGCAUCAGAGAGUGUAAAGAUGGCUCGCAGAAGAAAGACAGAGGCCACUGCUGAGGCUGAUCUGGAGACAAGCUCCCGCAGCUCGAGGAGAAGCAAGAGGGUGAGUGAGGCAGCUGCGGCAGCAGCUGAAGAGAACAGUACUGACAGCCCACAGGAGGCUGAGGAAGUGCAGCGAAUGUCACAGAGCAGCUCUCGAAGUUUGAGCAAGAAGGACAGCAGUAAUGGGGACAUGCAGGAGGAGGAGAGUACCAGAGUUAGCAGAUCUCGGCGCAGCUCCAGGAGCAGAAGCGUUGACAAGGACAAGGUGGCAGACAGUGAAGGAGCAAAAACUAGAGGCCGGCACGCGCGAGGUGAGAGCAUGGAGCAGGAAGAGCGAGAGGAGCAGGAGCAGGCAGUGACUACAUCCAGGAGGAGGAGGAAAAGUGGCAGUGUAGAGAAGGAUGCUCCGAAGACCCCCUUGAGAAGGUCGCGCCGCAUGUCACGAGGUGGAAGCACAGAACCAGAGGAAGUGGAAGAUCCAGCUGAGGUGAAAUUGGUUGAUGGUGCACCCAAGAAGUUGGAGGACAUCCAGGAGUUGAAUGAAAGCUGCAGUGAGACACCCAAAAAAUCAGCUGAGGCCAAGGAGCCCUGUGAGAAUUCAAGGGUGGAGUCCCCAGUGAAGGAAGAAAAUGAAACUUCAACCAAGGACAGUUUAAGUAAAGCUCCAAAUACAGCAAAACCCAAACAAGACACAAAGGAGAAGGAAGAAGAUGCUGAUGUUUUGGAGAAAAAAGAGGACAGUACUAAAACUGAAGAAGCUUCUGCAGAGGAAUCCCCAAAGAAGUCACAAGAUGAUUCUCUCAAUAAAUCACUUGAGAAGUCACCAAGGAAGUCGCAAGAUGAUGACCCACACAAGAAGUCUCGUUCAGAGUCAUCUAAGAAGUCCAAGGAAGAGAAUCUGAAACACAGAGACGAAUCCUCCAGCAAAGACCGAGAUGAGAGCUCUGAUGAAGAAGCAUCAGGGAAAGGCCCACAUGAGAGAAGCUUGAGAGAGUCAGAUGAACACAAUAGGAAGAGAAGCCUCAGUGGUAGAAGUGGUAAUGAGGAAGAAGAGGUUGAGGACGAUGGCAAAAAUUCCACAAACGACAAGAAGGAAAGCUCAGCGUCUCGGCCCCGACUGCAGAGGAACGAGGUCAAAAUGCUGGAGGUAAAGGCCGAACAACAGGAGAAGAGCCGCAAGGACAGGUCACGCUCCAACAGCAGAUCAUCACAUAGCUCCUCAAGAUCACCCUCACCAAAGAAGGCUAAGCAGGAACAGCCCAAGCCAAACAGCCGCAGAGACUCAGCAAGUGGAGACGAAAGGGAAGACAGAAGACGUAGCACUGACAAGAGGCGAGACUCCUCAAGCAGGAGUAGACGUGAUUCUGAGACUUCUAAAGAUGCAUCGAGACCAAAGCUCAACAGGAAUGAGGUGAAGGUUCCAGAGGCAAAGGGGGGUAAGACGGAGAGGAAGAGCAGGAAGGAUCGCUCGCCCUCAGAAAGCAGAUCAUCCAGUGACUCUUCCCGGUCCCCUGUCCAUAAGAAGCAUAAGAAGCGUUCCUCCUCUUCUUCUUCCUCUAGUUCCUCAAGCAACUCCUCCCGCUCAAGAUCAGGCUCUGGUCACCGCAAGAGGUUUGGCAGUGCAAGCAAGAAGAAGCCGGAAGUUGAUUCAUCAAGGUCUUCCCCGAGCAAGAGGCAAUUCCUUGCUUCCCCUGACCGUUCCAGAGCGAAGGAUAACGGUGAGGAGGCUAAGGGACGACAUGCACCUGUGCCAGAGAAGAGGAGUCGCCAUUCACGCUCUCGGUCAAGAUCUCCCAAAACCAAGACCCACAAGCAAGAUGGAAGCUCCUAUGAAUCCAAAAAGGACAGCAAGUGGUCUGACAGCAGAAGGGACAGCCAGAACUCUGACAGGAGACAACAAGAGGAGGAGGAGAAGGAGAACAAGGAAACAAAGCCUAUGAUAGAUUAUUCCUCUUUCAAGUCAGUGAGGAAAGUAAGCUUAUCUCGAGGCAAGUCAAGAGAUGAAGAAGCUGAAAAAGACGCAGACAAACCAAAGAAAAGGAAAUGGGGUAAUUCUUCCUCAAGGAAAAUGUCAGUUGAUAUUUCCUCCGCUUCUCUUAAGACCAUUAUCCCUGAUGUGAAGCCCCUCCUGCCCUCGGAACUGCACAUGGGUGAGGACUCGGAACCCGAGUCUGGAGAGGCAAGUGAUGCCGAGGGACCUGAGCCACCUCCCAGCCUAGGUCAGGAGGCCAAGGAAGAGUUAAUGGAGGAGGGCGAGGAGGCCAGACCCCGGCGUGAGGUGCGGGAAGUGUCCCCGGUGGCAGUCAAACAGAGGAAGAGAUCCAAGUCGCCCGAGGAGAAAGCCAUGAGAAAGAUCAGGAUGUAUGAAGGGCCUCCUGUAAGCAAGCCAGCCAUUCCCCCCGCACGAAACCCACCUUCCAGAGUAGUGUUCAUUCAGCACCUAGUCCGGCCGUUCACCAUCAACCAGCUGCGCGAGUUGCUGCAGAGAACGGGUCGAUUAGUGGAUAAUGGCUUCUGGAUUGACAAUAUCAAGUCCAAGUGCUUGGCAAUGUAUGAGAAUGAGGAUCAAGCUCAAGAAACCCGUGUUGCUCUGCAUGGUGUUAAAUGGCCAAUGUCGAACCCAAAGAAUUUGUUUGUUGAUUUUGCCACUGAGGAGGAGAUGAAAAAGAGGCUGGAGGAGAAUGCCCCUCCUCCCCAGAAGGCUGUAGAAGAGAAACGAGAUGAUAAAUGGAAACGUGAAGGGCCAGUGCGUGAGUGGGACUUGGCGAAGAUAGGAGAGCGUUCGCCAGGGGAGAGGGAGCGGGAACGCGAGAGGCUGAGAAGAGAGAGGGAGGAGGAGAGAAUGAGAGAACGCCGCAAGAGCCAGAGUCCAAGCGGUGCUGAAGGCGAGAAACAGAAAAAGAAACCAGAGGAACCUCCCGCCAAGCUGCUGGAUGAUUUGUUCCGCAAAACAAAGGCACAGCCAGCUAUAUACUGGCUGCCACUGACCACCGAACAGAUUGCCGAGAAAGAGGCGCAGCGACGCCAGAAGAUGGCUGAGGUGGAGCGUCUUCAGGCCGAGAUGAAAGCAGCUAAGGAGAAGGAGAACGAAGAAUGGGAGAAAAUCCGAGCUGAGAGAAAGAAGGAACGCGAAAAGGAACGAGAGAAGGAGAGGGAGCGGGAGAAAGAGCGCGAGAAGGAGAGAGAGCGGGAGAGAGAGAAGGAGAAGGAGAAGAAUGCUCGCAAGUCCCGCUCAAGGUCAAGGUCCCGGAGGAGGAGCCGUUCCUCAAGAAGAUCGCCACGGAGGUCACCGAGGAGGUCACCCCGUAGGUCCCCAAGAAGGUCACCCAGACGCUCGCCCAAAAGGUCACCGAGAAGGUCGGCAGGGAAGUCUCCUCGAAGAUCACCACAGCGUUCCCGGCGGUCCGCCAGCAGGGAGUCGCGACGAUCUCGCAGGAGGAGCCGCAGCCGUUCAAGAUCCCGCACUUGAUUCCAUGAAGGCAUUUUGAUGAGGGGAGCUCACAACCAUGCGAAGGAAACAUGAAAGAGAGAGAGAGCUUGGAAAAACAUGUAAACGAAUCCAUAUGCAACAAGAGGAGGAGGAGGACAAGCUACCACUACAACUGAUUGCUGGGCCCCAUCGGCCCACACCUCCCUAGAAGCAGUACUGUACUAAAACAAAAGAGGCUUCAACACGCCAGCUUCGACGCACCAGUCCUCUACCACCUACAAGAAGAGCAUUGGGUGGUAAGGGAAGUGUUGAAAGCGUUAUGGGUGACGAGAGAGCUCCUGCGCUGUGAGAUUCACCGAUGACUCGUCAGGGUACCAGCGGGAACUACGAUGAUCACCAGUACUGACCAGCGUUUGUCCUAUAGCUUCCUCAUGGAAUGCCGUUCGCGAAGCUGUACAGCUUUUCAAAAUGCCUCAAGAGGCCCAAAACUAAAGGGAAAUGACAGUUGUUUCCAUCCCUCGACAACCAAAUUAAUAAUGGACCGUACCUGCGGGUACUCUAAAACAUGAAUUGACAAAUUGAAGUGUUUUAUCCCUCUUGCGGAUCACGAUGAAGAGACAACACAGCAAUGAUGAAAUCAAGGCUUGAGUGGCUUGAAGUGAAACGGUGAUAGUGAAUCGUUGAAGUGUGUCCGAGUUUUUUAAAGAUGCAGACAAAAAAGUGAUAUAGAAAAUCUGGGUUUACCGACUUGUAUCAAUUAAUUAUUGCACUUGAUCAUGGGAGAACAUAUCCAAGCACCAAGUGCCUGGAACAAACAGUGAUGCAGUGCCGUGCAUUGGUGACUGACUGAAGGGUGAACGACCCUCUCCCCUCUGAUUGUAUGGAGUACAAAAAAUUUUAGUGAUGUGUAAACCCAGGUGGAUAAGGAGAUGGACAUCUAUGGAGAUGCAUGAUGCUCUCCAAGUGUGUGAACCACAUAUAAAAGUUAACACGUGCUGAUUUAUGUAGGUCUACGGAUAUAUACAUUAUACAGAUAAAAUUUUUCAGUUUAGAGUAUUUUGAUGUUACAUUUUCAAGUGAAUUUAUGCACUUUAGGUUUUUAUUGUUUGAGAGAGAUCUAAAGAUUUCUUCAGUUGUGAUGACUUGUGGAUGAUUGUUUAUAAUGGAAUAAAGUAACACCCUUAC
rnacentral:misc_RNA from 1 species